rnacentral:Y_RNA from 1 species
GGCUGGUCCAGGUGCAGUGGUGUUUACAACCAAUUGAUUACACCCAGUUGCAGAUUUCUUUGUUCUUUCUCACUCCCACUGCUUCACUUGACUAGCUUUAA